AAGUUGAAGAACAGAAGAAGGUGGACAUCGUAGUGGAAGCUGGCAAGGGGAACAACACUGCCAACCUGAACGUGUCUCUAUUGCACAACCUGAGGCAACUCAAAGGAGUGAUACCUACAUCAUUACAGAUGAGCUGCACGGGGUACGCCACCAAUGGUGCCGCUAAUGACCGCCUCUCGGCCCAUUGCUCCGGAAGCAUCGCCGGUCGACCCGUGGAGACUCUCCUCCCUCCGUACUUCUCAGUGAAUGGCUCCUUGGUCCGCUCCCACCACGCGUC